rnacentral:rRNA from 1 species
AGAGAGAGACAUGCGCGCAUAUCAAUAAGCGGAGGAAAAGAAACUAACUAAGGAUUCCCCUCAGUAACGGCGAGUGAAGCGGGAAGAGCUCAAAUUUGAAAUCUUCAAGGGUUUACCUCUACGAAUUGUAGUUUAAAGAAGUGUUUUCUGUUGAGGUUUUGGUAAAAGUUCUUUGGAAUAGGACAUCAUAGAGGGUGAGAAUCCCGUAUUUGACCAUUACUUUCAACUGUGUGAUACACUUUCAAAGAGUCGGAUUGUUUGGGAAUGCAGUCCAAAAUGGGUGGUAAAUUUCAUCUAAAGCUAAAUAUUGGCGAGAGACCGAUAGCGUACAAGUACCGUGAGGGAAAGAUGAAAAGAACUUUGAAAAGAGAGUUAAACAGUACGUGAAAUUGUCAAAAGGGAAGCGUUUGACACCAGUGUUGUUUUCUCGAAAAUCAAUUAAAAAAGGCAGGAUUUUGUGUUGUAUUGACUUUAUCAGCUUUCUGCACUCUUUUCUUGUCCUUUUUUAAUGCACUUUUCGUUUAACAAGUCAACAUCAAUUUCUUUUGUUGUAAAAGGGUCAUUGGAAGGUGGCUUUCUUUUCGGAGAAAGUGUUUAUAGCCUUCGGCCUCUGCAAUCGGAGAGAUUGAGGUCUGCAGCGUAGAUCCUUCGGGGUUAGAUACAUUUGUGCUAAGUUAUAGCCUUUCAUAGACAACUUGUUGACUAUGAUCAGUCAUGUAGCUUACUCGCUUAUGCUAUUUUACCUACGCUUAGGAUGUUGAUGUGAUACUGCGAGCA